rnacentral:rRNA from 1 species
UUAUUUCAAUUUUCUUUCACAAUACUAUUACACUAUAAUUAAAAUUAUUUUUUCUUUAUUAAAUACUAAAACAAAUUUUUAUAUAAUUAUUUUUAAUAAUUUAAACAUAUAAAAAACAUAAAUUAAUAAAUAAAAUCUAAUCAAUUUAUAUUGAUUUGCACAAAAAUUUUUUCAAUGUAAAUGAAAUGCUUUACUUAAUAAGCUUUAAAUUGCAUUCUAGGUACACUUUCCAGUACAUCUACUAUGUUACGACUUAUCUUACCUUAAAAGUAAGAGUGACGGGCGAUGUGUGCAUAUUUUAGAGCUAAAAUCAAAUUAUUAAUCUAUAUAAUUUUACUAUCAAAUCCACCUUCAAUAAAUAUUUCAAAUUUAUAUUCAUAUAAAUAAUUUUAUUGUAACCCAUUUUUACUUAAACAUAAGCUACACCUUGAUCUGAUAUACUUUCCUUUUUAAAUUUAUGAAAAUUAACAUUCUUAUAAAAUAUUCUAAUAACGACGGUAUAUAAACUGAUUACAAAUUUAAGUAAGGUCCAUCGUGGAUUAUCGAUUAUAAAACAGGUUCCUCUGAAUAGACUAAAAUACCGCCAAAUUUUUUAAGUUUCAAGAACAUAACUA